rnacentral:rRNA from 1 species
AGUGAACGCUGGCGGUAGGCCUAACACAUGCAAGUCGAACGGCAGCACAGUAAGAGCUUGCUCUUACGGGUGGCGAGUGGCGGACGGGUGAGGAAUACAUCGGAAUCUACUUUUUCGUGGGGGAUAACGUAGGGACACUUACGCUAAUACCGCAUACGACCUACGGGUGAAAGCAGGGGAUCUUCGGACCUUGCGCGAUUGAAUGAGCCGAUGUCGGAUUAGCUAGUUGGCGGGGUAAAGGCCCACCAAGGCGACGAUCCGUAGCUGGUCUGAGAGGAUGAUCAGCCACACUGGAACUGAGACACGGUCCAGACUCCUACGGGAGGCAGCAGUGGGGAAUAUUGGACAAUGGGCGCAAGCCUGAUCCAGCAAUGCCGCGUGAGUGAAGAAGGCCUUCGGGUUGUAAAGCCCUUUUGUUAGGAAAGAAAAACAGCAGGUUAAUACACCGAUGUUCUGACGGUACCCAAAGAAUAAGCACCGGCUAACUUCGUG